rnacentral:sRNA from 1 species
GACGCAGACGCGAUUUAUGAACGUGCCUGGUCGGAA